rnacentral:lncRNA from 1 species
GUUAGGUCCAACCAUUAAUAUGACCAUACUUGGCCCAUCUAGCCAAUGAAUGAUUAGGCCCAACUUUGGUUGGUUAACCUAACCACCAUUUAGAAAGAUACAGUCAAGAAAUCAUAUUAUGAAUGACAAUUCCAUCAACCAAUAAGCACCAGGCCUUUGGGCCUCCAAUGAUUAUCCAACUGAUGGAUCCAUUAUCAUCCACUUAAUGGGAGGCUAUGAUCUAGUUAUCACCAUAACUAUUUCAUUUUAAGGACCUAAUAAUUUUAGAGGAUUUAAUUGAUUUAGAGGAGGAGGUCAGAUGAACCAACUUAUCAUGAUCCUCUCACUGGCUUCACCAAGUCAGCUUAAGGGAGACCAUUAAAAGGGCUGGUCUAGGAGCACCUAAAUCAGUCACACUGAUUUACCUAGCUGACAUGGGUCAGCUCGAAUAAUCAAGUGAUCUGAUCAAAAUAUAAUUUCACCAAG